ensembl:lncRNA
AAAAAAAAGAAGAGGUCUAAAAGGGGUUCGUUUUGAUUGUGUUUAAUACGGCAUGAAGCUCGGAGCGGUAAGCGGCGGCUCGGUGUCAUGACCUCUAGAUUGAAAACUUCACCUUCAACACAAGUUCACUCCGGAGCCAGGACGAGUCGGGCUGCGCUCGGUGGAGCUGAAUACAAUGUCUGCAUUUGUGGCUAACUCCAAGCAAUACAUUAUGAAGAUGAUGUUAUUCAGACACACACCCAAACAAUUUGAUUCAGACAAAUUGGAUAUGAGACUUUGACCAGCAUGAGAAGAACAGUGUUUACGGUGAAAUGAUGGGGUCAACACUUCCUAGCAGCGUGGCCAACAGAUGUAGCGUGGAGAUGACAACUGUACAUUUUAGUGGUCUUUUGUUACCUCAGCACUGACUGAUGGCUGAGAGGCUGGAAGCCAGAAUGUCAAAGGCCAUCAGAUGUCCUGGCAGCCUCUAGAUCUCGUUUCUGUUAAGGGUUGAAAUGACAAAAAAAUGCCUUUUUUUGUGGUUGCAUGUAAAAUUGCCGUCAGCUUUUUGCAAUAGAAAGAGACCCUAAGAAGAAGCCCAUGUGUGCCUUUAGCAACUUAUUGUAGCUUGUGGACCAACUUCGGUCUAAAGAGCAAGAUUUAAGAGCGUCCAGGAUUCAUAUGUUUAAUAUUUGGAGAUUCAGUAGUUUUAUCUGACAGUCAAAGUAGCUAUUGAUAGAAAAAGAACAUGUACUAUGGCAUAAAAAUACUGCAUUAAAGUACUGACAAAAGAAUCUGUGGUGACUUUGCUGAGCUUUUGGCUGGUCUAAAUGCUUGGAAACUAUUUUUUUUCUUUAUGUCAGGAAAGCAACUGUUCAUACGCCAGGUGUUGCUCUCCCUCCUCUCCCAACCCCUCUCUUUUUCAAUAUCUCACAGCUGUAUGAUAGGUAAUUAAAACAAUCACCGACGUGUUUCAAAGCUGUUGUAGCCUUUAGUUGACUUUUAAAACUCUUAUUUGAAGAAGAAUGGUGAAAUUAAUUUGUAUCUGGCUCAGGAAAGUGCUCUUUACUUGAGCAAUGGACUUUACAACAUUGCCAACAAAAAGACUGAAAUUAAUAUUACUCUUGCCUUUAUCUAGGGUUAUUCUGUUAACUGUUUUAUACUGGAAAUUAAUUUCAAUAUCAGACAGGUGUCUACAAGCCAUGAAUGCAGCAGCUCCAGCAUACAGUCAGAUAGCUUCCUCUUCAUAAUCAUGGUAAAAAUAAUAAUUCGAAAGAAGUAAACUUGCCAGCACAAUUAAAUGAUUCUGCCUGUAGAUAAUGGAAGGAGGAAGUUUCAAAGAAUGGACUAUAAAAUGCAUAAGAUUAAAAAGUGUCAUUUAAAAAAGUGUUAUGUGGUUGUUUUGAAAAGAACUGUGAUUUUACAGGCUCAUCUUUCUACUGAGAAAAAUUACUGUGAGAUACAGAGACUUCGGGAUAGGUGUAUUUUUGAUGCUGAGAUGCUCUGCUGUUUUCUGUUGGGUUUUUGUGUGUGUGUGUUUCUUUUCUGUGCUUCAGCAGCUGGCUUUAUGAAACUUGUAAUUCAUUCAUUGUGCUUUCUCUAUGAGACAGGAUUUUAUUCUGAAAAUAAAUUUACUUCUAAUAUGUUCUUUUUGAUCGUUAAAAAAAAAAACCCUUUCAUCUUUACAAACGAUUGUGUUGUUACAUCCGUGUAAAGUGGACCAUGUAGCACAAGUGAACAGCAAAUCCAAUGAGCAAUGUGUAUAAAAUGUAGGAAUGUGAGCAAGAAAAGCAGUGCAUAACCUAAGAAUGAAGCAGAAAUUUAGUUUGGAAACACGUUUUAUUGUCUUACAGCCUUGUGAGACCCCAGUUAUUCACAUAAUUAUUGAUUAAGAAUGACUGCAUUUGCAGGAAAAUAUGUGCUUCAGAAAUAACCAAAAUAUGCGGUGGCACAUUUUAAGCUCCUCAUCUGGGUACACAGUUUGUAGGUACAGGCAGAAGCAUCCCUCAGCGGUCAGGCACAGGCUGGCUUUCCUCUCCUUGUUCUCAGAAGGAUAUCUGCCUCUCUUGGACUGCCCCACAAAAUUCCAUUUCUUCUUCCUCUUCGGAUUUGUCUCUUUGGAAAUGUAUAAUUCCAUGGCAUAGAUGUAAGCAGUGAC